rnacentral:lncRNA from 1 species
UAAGGGUGGCGCUACUUUCUGCUAUUUGCCUCGGGGAUGUGUGUAAUUUGCAGUCUUGCUCAGAGGGCGAGUAGAGGGGGAGCUUCAGAGGCUCCCACUUGUCCUUUCCCACUUUUAUUCACAGGCUAAGGAACCAGUGUGGAUAUGUGAGUGUUCUGGCAACUUCCAAGUAUUAUCUAUUUCAGCCUACUCUGAAGUAGACCUGGGUCCAUCUAUUACCUGGCCCACACACACAAUUUUUCUACCGGGGGGACGUGUUUGUAUCAUACUGGGUAUCAUUUUUCAACUCAGACCUUGUGUCCGAUGGUUCUCAAAGUAUUAAGUAUUGGGCUAUUUCCUUUCCCCAGGGUAUAGUUACCCAGGUAAAUACCUGCCAGUCCCUUUGUAGAAGGACUGGGGUAAUCUCUGUCAUAUAGUCUUGCCAAGGUGUUGCAGGGUACUUCUACCUAAGGACCUGACCUUUGCUUAAGUCAACGGGCCCUGAGUCCAGAACUUAAUCCAGGUCCAGAAGCUGGUCAGAGAAUUCUGACUUUAUUGGCACAGCUGCCCUCAGCCUGUUCCAGAUCCUUUCUCUUGACCAGUGCAUCUGGAGGCCAUGUUAAACUACAGAUUGCUGGUCCCCACCCCCCCAGAGUUUCUAACUGAGUAGGUCUGGGCUGGGGCCUGAGAAUUGGUUUCUGACAAUUUUCCAGGCAAUGCUGAUGCUACUGGUCAGAGACUACACUUUGAAAACACUGUGUAUAGUUUGAUCUCGGGACUCAUCUCCGGGCUCCAGCCAUUUCCACAGCUCUGUGUGAGUGUCUCCCUGCUGUUCUGACCCGGCUCCUCAGUGAGGCGUUUACUCCCACCUUGCUUCUGACAGUUAAGCAUUGUCAUCUGGCCUCUAGGGUUCUGGGAUCUUCUCUCUCCACGUGGAUCAAUCAUCGGAUGUAGGCUGCCCCUGGGGAGAGGGCCUGUCCUUGGGCUAGGGCUCUGGGCUGAGCGUAAUCUCCGGGGGCGGAGACUCAGCUGUGAGCUGUCAUUGCGGUAAGCGGGCCUCUCACUGUUGUGGCAUCUCCCGUUGCGGAGCACAGGCUCCGGACGCGCAGGCUCAGCGGCCAUGGCUCACGGGCCCAGCCGCUCCGCGGCAUGUGGGAUCUUCCCGGACCGGGGCACGAACCCGUGUCCCCUGCAUUGGCAGGCAGACUGUCAACCACUGCGUCACCAGGGAAGCCCUGAUGCAAUACUUUUAAAAGUCAAAGCAC